CCUACGGGGGCAGCAGUGAGGAAUAUUGGUCAAUGGGCGGGAGCCUGAACCAGCCAAGUCGCGUGAGGGACGACGGUCCUAUGGAUUGUAAACCUCUUUUGUCGGGGAACAAAAGCGCCCACGGGUGGGCGGAUGAGUGUACCCGAAGAAAAAGCAUCGGCUAACUCCGUGCCAGCAGCCGGGGAAAUACGGAAGGUGCGGACGUUAUCCGGAUUUAUUGGGUUUAAAGGGAGCGGAGGCGGCAUGUCAAGCGUGCUGGGAAAUGUACGGGCUCAACCCGGGCCUUGCAGCGCGAACUGGCGUGCUGGAGUGCGCGGAAAGCAGGCGGAAUUCGUCGUGUAGCGGUGAAAUGCUUAGAUAUGACGAAGAACCCCGAUUGCGAAGGCAGCUUGCUGCAGCGGAACUGACGCGGAUGCUCGAAAGCGCGGGUAUCGAACAGGAUUAGAUACCCCAGUAGUC
rnacentral:rRNA from 1 species